UGUCAUCAUGUGUUCUGUCGCUGCUGGGGGCGUGUCUCUGUGCGUCUGUCAGUGCGUGACGCCGUCUAGUGGAGCGCUGGAGAACUGCAGUUCAGGAUCAACACGAGCUGCAGCAGCACACAGGAGACUGAAGCUUUAAACUCAUCCAGUUGUAAACAAAGUCAUCAUUUUGACAGGAUUUCGACUCGCAAAACAUCAUGUCUUCUGGUAAUGGAUCUACACUGAUAUCUGUUCAUUACGCUGCACAUGUCGUCUCUCUCUCGUCUCUGAUAGACUCAGUUCAGCUCAUGCAGCUCUCUGAAACACGCUGAGGAUUUCAAGAAGAGAGAAGCCAUGUGCAGGAUCUGGAAAUACAGCUUUACAUGUGAACUGAAGCCAUGAGGAAGAGGAAGGUGGUUCUUCAUCAUAUCCUCACUGAUGAAGCCCUGACUUUACACUCUUUACCUAUAAUGUCCACCUGAUUACGGGCCUGUUUCAAUACAAAAAAAAUUGUAGAUCCUAAAAGAUAAAGUGUAGACAGAGCACACGUGUCCUGUAAGAGCAUCAGACAUGUCGACUCCUGCAGUCUGAUACUGAACACUUGAUCAAACACAGAAAAUAGCAGCAAGAACACAAGAGCUCAAAGCAAAGACAGCAAGUGUUGCUAUUCAGACAGGCCCGAUUUUACACGCCACUGACUUAUUGAUUAUUAAUGUCUGAUGAUUAUUAAUGUCUGAUGAUUAUUAAUGUCUGAUGAUUAUUAAGAUUUGCUGAUUAUUAAUGUCUGCUGAUUGUUAAUGUCUGCUGAUUAUUAAUGUCUGAUGAUUAUUAAUGUCUGCUGAUUAUUAAUUUCUGUCAUCUAAACUGAGCUUGUUGAUUUGGUCAGACAGAGUCAGCUAAAGUAAGAUGCUCUUACCGUCUGGUUCUUCUAGACGUCUCUUCUAGCUCAGGCUGAAUGUCUGUGUGAAGAUAAAGAGAGUCGAGUGGUGAUGAUUGAUGCUUUUCAAUAAUUCAGCUCAUUUGUUUUGAAGAUCAGCUUAAACUAUAUUGUAGAUUCAUCACAUCAGCGCCCUCUAGUGGAGAAACACUGACAUCUCAGGAUUUUGUUGAACAUCUUUCUAAAAUCAGGAUUGGCCGAAAAAUGUGUGCUCUGAACCACUGAUUCAAUCAAAGAGUCAAAUAAAAGAUUCAAAUUGAAGAUUCAAAUUGAAGAUUCAAAUUGAAGAUUCAAAUUAAAGAUUCAAAUUAAAGAUUUAAAUCAAAGAUUCAAAUCAAAGAUUCUAAUCAAAGAUUGAAAUGAAAGAUUCGAAUUAAAGAUUCAAAUAAAAGAUUCAGAGCUUAUUGAAUCAGUGAUUCAAAAGCAGCAUCACUGCAUUUUAGAGAUUUGUCUCACCUGUGUUUGAGUCGCAUCUUCUUUUCACACUCCUUUACUUUCCAUCUGUGCUGUGAAUAAAAACAUACAAACAUUA
ensembl:antisense